CUCCACGGCUGCCGCCAUUAUUCUCCAGCUUGUGAUGGACACGGCGGCCAUUUUGGUUUUCACCAUGCGGUCUCUGGCUGCUCGGUUCGCCGCUCAGGAGUCGUGGGUGGUCACUGCCUCCUCGGUGGGGUCCGGGAUAACCCCCCCGGCCCACAGGGGGGAGAACGGGGCGCUCUGUGAGCGGGUGGGAGGUCCCGCCGGACUAAGCACGGGAGACCGGCCGCAUCUCCCGCCAGAGCCUCACGACAGGCCGCAAUCCCAGCCGCCCAGCAGUUUUCAUCGCCGGUAGGACGGAGGCCGGUAAGUGCACCGAGAGUUGUGCACAGGUCCCCUUUGCCUUCUAGUUGCAGCUGGGUGGUUUUUCAGGGGAAAGGAAAUAUUUUUAAGGCUAGGAUUGUGGGUUUCAUGGAGGAGCUGAGGUGCCCCACGUCCAUCCAGCUCGGCGGUCAGGCCCCGCCCCCCCUUUG